GACAUAUUUCCAACACUCCGUCCGAAAAUACUUGUCAUCAAAAUGGAUAAAAAGAGAUGUAUCUAAAACUAAAAUACGUCUAGAUACAUUUCCUUUUAUCCAUUUUGAUGACAAGUAUUUCUGGACGGAGGGAGUAUUUG
rfam:Triticum aestivum genome assembly, contig: Triticum_aestivum_CS42_TGACv1_scaffold_182994_2DS